AAGGGAGACCUAAUUCAGGUAUAAGACGAAAAAAAAGUAGUCCCUACCAAGAAUCAAUCCCAAAAGGUCGGAACGAGGUAUGAGGCUUUCAAACUAGGUUCUGGGUUCAUAAAAGACCUGAAUCAGGAACAAGGGCUAUUAGCUCAGGUGGUUAGAGCGCACCCCUGAUAAGGGUGAGGUCCCUGGUUCGAGUCCAGGAUGGCCCACCUGCACAGGUGGCAAAAACAAGAGAAGCGAGGAAUCAGCACCUUAUCUUAUAUACAUAUAUAAGAGAGAAUGCUGGCUCUGAGUACAGAGUCCAGAGGAACCUUGAAAACUGCAUAGAGCUAGGUGAAAAAGCCAAAAAAGAAGACCGCAAGGUCAAGCUAAUAAGGGCUAACGGUGGAUACCUAGGCAC
rnacentral:tRNA from 1 species